ACAUGGUCCAGAUGUAAGAAUCAACAAAGCAGCACUUUCACCUGCCAAAAAUCAUACUGUAAAAGGCCACAAUCUGAAGGCAGUCAUUGCAAGAGCAGUUCUAUAGAGAACUACAAGUUGAUUAUAGAAAGAAUGAAGAACACUACAGUUACCAACAAUUGGAAUUGCCACAUCUCUCAGAUAAUUGGGCAGCUUGUCUAUGAGAUGCUUUAGAGUUAUACAACUCAAUCAGCUAAUAUGAUCAAUUACAAA